rnacentral:rRNA from 1 species
AAAUUGAAGAGUUUGAUCAUGGCUCAGAUUGAACGCUGGCGGCAGGCCUAACACAUGCAAGUCGAACGGUAACAGGAAGAAGCUUGCUUCUUUGCUGACGAGUGGCGGACGGGUGAGUAAUGUCUGGGAAACUGCCUGAUGGAGGGGGAUAACUACUGGGAACGGUAGCUAAUACCGCAUAACGUCGCAAGACCAAAGAGGGGGACCUUCGGGCCUCUUGCCAUCGGAUGUGCCCAGAUGGGAUUAGCUAGUAGGGGGGGUAACGGCUCACCUGGGCGACGGUCCCUAGCUGGGCUGAGAGGAUGGCCAGCCACAAUGG